rnacentral:rRNA from 1 species
CGAUGAAGCUUCUUCGGGAGUGGAUUAGCGGCGGACGGGUGAGUAACACGUGGGUAACCUGCCUCAUAGAGGGGAAUAGCCUUUCGAAAGGAAGAUUAAUACCGCAUAAGAUUGUAGUACCGCAUGGUACAGCAAUUAAAGGAGUAAUCCGCUAUGAGAUGGACCCGCGUCGCAUUAGCUAGUUGGUGAGGUAACGGCUCACCAAGGCGACGAUGCGUAGCCGACCUGAGAGGGUGAUCGGCCACAUUGGGACUGAGACACGGCCCAGACUCCUACGGGAGGCAGCAGUGGGGAAUAUUGCACAAUGGGGGAAACCCUGAUGCAGCAACGCCGCGUGAGUGAUGACGGCCUUCGGGUUGUAAAACUCUGUCUUUGGGGACGAUAAUGACGGUACCCAAGGAGGAAGCCACGGCUAACUACGUGCCAGCAGCCGCGGUAAUACGUAGGUGGCAAGCGUUGUCCGGAUUUACUGGGCGUAAAGGGAGCGUAGGUGGAUAUUUAAGUGGGAUGUGAAAUACUCGGGCUUAACCUGGGUGCUGCAUUCCAAACUGGAUAUCUAGAGUGCAGGAGAGGAAAGGAGAAUUCCUAGUGUAACGGUGAAAUGCGUAGAGAUUAGGAAGAAUACCAGUGGCGAAGGCGACUCUCUGGACUGUAACUGACGCUGAGG